rnacentral:rRNA from 1 species
GACGAACGCUGGCGGCGUGCUUAACACAUGCAAGUCGAACGGAAAGGCCCUGCUUUUGUGGGGUGCUCGAGUGGCGAACGGGUGAGUAACACGUGAGUAACCUGCCCUUGACUUUGGGAUAACUUCAGGAAACUGGGGCUAAUACCGGAUAGGAGCUCCUGCUGCAUGGCGGGGGUUGGAAAGUUUCGGCGGUUGGGGAUGGACUCGCGGCUUAUCAGCUUGUUGGUGGGGUAGUGGCUUACCAAGGCUUUGACGGGUAGCCGGCCUGAGAGGGUGACCGGCCACAUUGGGACUGAGAUACGGCCCAGACUCCUACGGGAGGCAGCAGUGGGGAAUAUUGCACAAUGGGCGGAAGCCUGAUGCAGCAACGCCGCGUGCGGGAUGACGGCCUUCGGGUUGUAAACCGCUUUCGCCUGUGACGAAGCGUGAGUGACGGUAAUGGGUAAAGAAGCACCGGCUAACUACGUGCCAGCAGCCGCGGUGAUACGUAGGGUGCGAGCGUUGUCCGGAUUUAUUGGGCGUAAAGGGCUCGUAGGUGGUUGAUCGCGUCGGAAGUGUAAUCUUGGGGCUUAACCCUGAGCGUGCUUUCGAUACGGGUUGACUUGAGGAAGGUAGGGGAGAAUGGAAUUCCUGGUGGAGCGGUGGAAUGCGCAGAUAUCAGGAGGAACACCAGUGGCGAAGGCGGUUCUCUGGGCCUUUCCUGACGCUGAGGAGCGAAAGCGUGGGGAGCGAACAGGCUUAGAUACCCUGGUAGUCCACGCUGUAAACGGUGGGUACUAGGUGUGGGGUCCAUUCCACGGGUUCCGUGCCGUAGCUAACGCUUUAAGUACCCCGCCUGGGGAGUACGGCCGCAAGGCUAAAACUCAAAGGAAUUGACGGGGCCCCGCACAAGCGGCGGAGCAUGCGGAUUAAUUCGAUGCAACGCGUAGAACCUUACCUGGGUUUGACAUGGAUCGGGAGUGCUCAGAGAUGGGUGUGCCUCUUUUGGGGUCGGUUCACAGGUGGUGCAUGGCUGUCGUCAGCUCGUGUCGUGAGAUGUUGGGUUAAGUCCCGCAACGAGCGCAACCCUUGUUCACUGUUGCCAGCACGUUAUGGUGGGGACUCAGUGGAGACCGCCGGGGUCAACUCGGAGGAAGGUGGGGAUGACGUCAAGUCAUCAUGCCCCUUAUGUCCAGGGCUUCACGCAUGCUACAAUGGCUGGUACAGAGAGUGGCGAGCCUGUGAGGGUGAGCGAAUCUCGGAAAGCCGGUCUCAGUUCGGAUUGGGGUCUGCAACUCGACCUCAUGAAGUCGGAGUCGCUAGUAAUCGCAGAUCAGCAACGCUGCGGUGAAUACGUUCCCGGG